UACGGGGGGUGCGAGCGUUGUCCGGAAUCACUGGGCGUAAAGGGCGCGUAGGUGGUUUGAUAAGGGUGUGGUGAAAGUCCGGGGCUCAACCCCGGAUCUGCCGUGCCGACUGUCAAACUCGAGGGCUGUAGAGGCAGACGGAAUUCCGGGCGUAGCGGUGGAAUGCGUAGAGAUCCGGAGGAAGACCGGUGGCGAAGGCGGUCUGCUGGGCAGUUUCUGACACUGAGGCGCGACAGCGUGGGGAGCAAACAGG
rnacentral:rRNA from 1 species